rnacentral:lncRNA from 10 species
GUUUGUUAUGAACUGAACUGUGUUCCCACAAAGCUCAUAUGUUGAAGCCCUAAACCCCAAUAUGACUAUAUUUGGAAAUACAUCCAUUAAAAAGGCAAGUAAGGUUAAAUGAAGUCCAAUGAGUGGUUCCUAGUCCAAAAGGACUGGUACUCUUAUAAGAAGAGAAAGAGACACUAGGAGUGUGAGUGCUCAGAGGGAAGACUAUGUGUGGACCUCAACAAGGUGACUAUUGGCAAGCCAAGGAGAGAGGCCUCAGGAGAAACCAAGCCUAUCUUCAACUUGACCCUGUACUUCCACCUUUCUGAACUGUCACAGACAAAUUGUUAUCAGCAUGUAAGAAUUCAACGAAUAUUGUUUCCAUGAAGAGUUUAGAAGAGUCUACUAGAAACCAAGCUUUAAUAUCAGAACAACUGCAGAAACAUCAAGAUAAGGAAACAGAGACGGGUUCUAAAACCUGCACCAGUUCAGACAGUGGGUGAGUUUCAGAGCUGAGAAGGGAAGCUCAGCAAUCUGGCCCCAGGCUCUGUGACAACUCCAAUUCUGAUGCUACCUAUUAAGAAGGACAGUUGUUCAACAACAAACAAAAUCACUAUGCUCAGUAAAUAAAUGAAGGAAAAGCCAAACAACAAAGAGAUGCCUUUUUCUGUUAUGAACUGACUCAUACUGCAU